rnacentral:lncRNA from 1 species
GCUUUGACUUAUUUCUAUCUCCCAUCCGGCUGCUACUUAAUCCCUUGGCCCUCCUAGCCUGGUAGUAUCUUCAGAAAUGGAGACCCAGGGUAGUGUUGCAGAAAGAGCACUAGACUAGGGGUCAGGGCUUUCAUCCCAGGUUUGCCCCCUGACUUGAGUAAGUUCACUCCCUUCUCAAUGCCCGUGACAUUAGACCAGACCAUAUAUAAGCAGAUUAUAGUAAAAACACGCACAGGGCUGGAAUUGGAAUUGGAAGGAUAAAAUACCUCUAAGGGCAUUGGAUGUAUUUCCCAUCAUGCAGAUAUUAUAUUACAGAUCUAUAACUUCAUUGAAAAAUAAAGAUGAUAGAAUGAAAAUGUAUUUGGUAUUAUUUUAUCGUAGCUUUGUAACAGGAGUUAAUCUUUCUUGUAUCUCUUUGUUUCUUUGGUGAGAGAAGUGGAAGUUACUUUUCCUAGUGCCAGGGUAGAAAAUGGCUACGUGGACUUCCCCAGGGGAGUUUUCCCUUAGGAGGAUACAUAUCAAUUUACACUGUAGAAGACAGGUGAACCAACUGGUCUUCAACAGCGACACCAUGUGGCUGAGAGAAGUAAAGACAGCACUGGACUUGAAAGAUCCAGGGUCAGCCUGCACCCAAAGGAACAGUGAGUGGGUGUACGUAGGUCAGGAGGAAGACUGACCUUUUUAUUACUAGACUAGGUAAGGACUACAGUGAUUUUGUUUGGUAUUGGUACUUUGAGUUUUGGGAGCAGUUCAUACUAGUUAAAUACAUUCUAUGAUAAAUGUUAAAAAUAGAUUUUACAUUUCUGGAAAUCUGUAACUACAAUGUUUUGACUUUUGCAGGUUUUGCUGGAGCCUCUGAGCAUCACACUGCAGACUACUGAACACAAGCAUUGUUUGGUUUCCUCUUUCACUGCAUGGUGUCCAACCUGUUUUUUGAAAAGGAAGAGGGAGAAUGGAGAACUCAAUUUUUGAAUUUCAAAUGAGAUUACACCGGGGUCAUUACAUUUUUCUCUAAGGUACCUUUUAGCUCAAAUGUCUAUAGUUGUAUAUGGAACUUUUUAAUGUUUUAAGAAUCUCCUGGAAAAGUUAUUCAUGCUA